UACGGAGGGUGCGAGCGUUGUCCGGAAUCAUUGGGCGUAAAGGGCGCGUAGGUGGCCCGGUCAGUUCGUGGUGAAAGCGCGGGGCUCAACCCUGCGUCGGCCAUGAAUACUGCCGCGGCUGGAGCACUGUAGAGGCAGGCGGAAUUCCGGGUGUAGCGGUGGAAUGCGUAGAGAUCCGGAAGAACACCGGUGGCGAAGGCGGCCCGCUGGGCAGUUGCUGACACUGAGGCGCGACAGCGUGGGGAGCAAACAGG
rnacentral:rRNA from 1 species